rnacentral:sRNA from 1 species
AAUUUAGGUGGCAUCGCGGAGAAAACUUCGUCCUA